UGCGGGAUCGUCUAAUGGUAGGACUUCUCCCUCUGGAGGAGAGUAUCUUGGUUCGAGUCCAAGUCCCGCAGCCA
rnacentral:tRNA from 1 species